rnacentral:rRNA from 1 species
GACGAACGCUGGCGGCGUGCUUAACACAUGCAAGUCGAACGAAGUGGCGAACGGGUGAGUAACGCGUAAUACACCUGCCCUUCAGAGGGGGACAACAGUUGGAAACGACUGAUACUCCCGCAUACUGACGGCGGGUAUUUCGUCGGAUUAGCUAGUUGGAGGGGUAACGGCCCACCAAGGCGAUGAUCAGUAGCCGGGCUGAUAGGAUGAACGGCCAAAAGGGGACUGAGAAACGGCCCAGACUCCUACGGGAGGCAGCAGUGGGGAAUCUGCCGCAAUGGACGAAAGGCUGACGGAGCAACGCCGCGUGAGUGAUGACGGCCUUCGGGUUGGAAAGCUCUGUGAAUCGGGACGCGGUACCGGAAUAGAAAGCCACGGCUAACUACGUGCCAGCAGCCGCGGUAAUAC